AUAAAUGGUUGUGCAGGACUGUUAAAAAAAAAAAAAAAAUCUGUUCUUAUCAGGUUAAUAUCUGAUACGUCCCCCAUGGAGGGGACCACAUAUUAAACAGAUUUUUGGAACAGGGAGCCGGAAGUGGGGCUUGCCCCGUCCGCUCCACACAUCGACCCGGUAUUGCAGGGCUUCCGGGAACGGUGCACCUCUA
rnacentral:snRNA from 1 species